UACGUAGGGAGCAAGCGUUGUCCGGAAUUACUGGGCGUAAAGGGCGCGUAGGCGGCCACUUAAGUUAGAUGUGAAAAACCGGGGCUCAACCGCGGUAUGGCAUUUAAAACUGGGUGGCUUGAGGGUGAGAGAGGAAAGUGGAAUUCCUAGUGUAGCGGUGAAAUGCGUAGAUAUUAGGAGGAACACCAGUGGCGAAGGCGACUUUCUGGCUCAUACCUGACGCUGAGGCGCGAAAGCGUGGGGAGCAAACAGG
rnacentral:rRNA from 1 species